GGGUGCGAUCAAACCAGCAUCAAUGCAUUGGAUCCCAUCAAAACUCCGACAUUAAGCAUGCUUGGGCCAGAGUAGUACUGGGAUGGGUGACCUGUGGGGAAGUCGUAGUGUUGCACCCU
rnacentral:rRNA from 1 species